AAGCAACCUCUCUUGGUCAUCACCCUGAAGCCUUGGGGUGUACCUAUUUGUCUUAGUUCCCACUGGCAUGAUAGACCCAGGGAAGAGGCUUGAGGUGCUUUCAGUAAUUCAGAGGUACAGGGCACCCCGAGCCUGGUCUAGAAUGGAGGUGUGGGCUUCUUUGAAGUGCUGGUUGUGGUGACUCUUGCCUGGGGCCAUGGGUGGCACUAAGCUCAAACAUCCAUUUCUCCAAGUUUAAUCUUCCAGAUAAACUUUCAUACUUCUCUUUGAAGUACUUAAUAAGGAGAACUCAUUCAAAGUUUAAUGAGUUAUUGUUCAAACUGGUGGUAUAAGGUCUGACUCCAUUGCAAAAAAAUCAUUUCACAAGGGCGGAGCUGAAUCUUGUCUUGUUCACUUCUGUUUUUUCUGUUGUCCAAAACAGUGUCUGGCAAACAAAUGGUGCUCAUCAUAUAUUUGUUGAAUGGAUUAAUGAAAGGCCGCUGAGACUUCUAGAAAUAGUUUGGGUCUCUCAAAAAUAUUUUUAAAACUCUGCUUGGCUUUUUCUUAUAUAUCUGCAUUAUUAUCAACAUUAGCAGCUUCACAGACUAAAAGUUUAAAUAUCACAGAAGAUUUUCUAGCACUUUGGAUCUAAAGAUAAAGUCCUCAGUGGGAACUGCAGGGAUAAAGGAUUUAGGUAAGAUUCCCAGGCACAGGCCCAUACAAAUAUGUGUGGUGUAAAUCCUAUAACAGAAUACCAAUAUUAUAUACAGAACUUUUUCUUUGUGGCAAAUUACAAAGUUAGCAUUAAAAAAAUCAAACUGGAGGUGAAAAAAAUAACAUCUAUCCUUCACAGGACUGCGUGCAAUUCUACUUGGAGAUCUUCAUAACACCUUAAGGGAAAAAUCCUUUUUGAAAGAAAAACAAGUCUGGGUGGUGCUUGAAAAUUCAGAAGGCAGCUAGAAACUCUGCCAAUUACAACUGGUGAUUGCUGAGUUCUGGAGACAGACUGGGCUUCUGCUUUCUUUUGGUGGAGGUGUCUGCUUGCAGAAAAUUUAUGUUCUGGGAUUUACAACUUCAGGGAGACAAAGGAAACUCCAGCUCAUCUCCCACAUCAUUGAUUGAGAGGACCAUUUUCUGACUGUCUGCACACCACAGGUAUGAAGGACAGCUUUGGACCAGGGACUCAGAGGGAGGAUAACAAUAGCUGAAGAGUUUGAAAAGCAAGACAAGAGCACAGGUAUCCAAACUGCUGAGAAGUGACUCCACUUCUCAGCUAGCUAUGAAGGUGUGGUGGACAGGGACAGUCCUAACAGCCAGCUAAGAAUUCAGGAGAACACCUGAGGACAAGAUCUUGAUACAGUUAUUGGAACCACGGUACAAGAUGAGGUGUGACUAAGGGCAAGCCAGACCAGAGGCUAGUUACAGAAAAUGGGUGCAAAUCAUAGAGAAUGGGUAUUCCUAGCCUCCUAGGGUAGGGUAAUGAAGGGUCUAGGAGUCAGGGAAAUAAUUGCAGGAGGUUCUAUCUUUGACUGUGCCUGGGACUGGAAGAGAUCACUCAGCUUCUCUGAGGUUGUUCCAUGGAGCUUGCAAGUUUUCAAAGCACUCUUAGGCCCACUUUUAGAGGUUCAUAAAUACAAGACAGCUUCUUAGUUUUGAUUGCUUCUACCUUAUGCCAAGCAUAUGGUACUGAAAAAAUUAAACAGUAGACAUUUUUUACAAUAAUCAGUUGUAAAAAUAAUCGAUUGGUGAUAUUAAAAUGUUGUUUACCCGUAUUCAUCCUUCCACAUAGUGUAGUCUAACAGACGUCAUUUAACCUCAACACUUAAUCAUCUGCUCCUAAAACUCUGCUGCUCUUGUGGGGUAUUAUACUCCAUUAUUCUAAGACUAGGGAGUACUUGGAAGAGAAGAUCCAGAAGAGUGGCAUCAUAGUUGGGUAGGCUGGGCUACAUCUCAUGAAGAUGCAUUUAUAAGAACAAAACUCAUUUGAAGGGAAAAUAUAAAUGAUACCUACAUUAGCUGAUAAAUAGAAGCUAAUUAAGAGAUUUUCUGUAAAUUUUAAGUUUACAGACUCUUAGAAUCAGAAGGGAUCUUGGAAAUUACCACAUUGCCAAUUACUAAUUUUCAAUUGAAGAACCAGGUUUUAAGGUUGAGUGGGUUGCUGAAGGCCAGGAAGUUAGAGGAAAGGAAUAGGAUCUGUUUCCUCUCAUCCCAAUCAAUGCUCCUUCCGGGGACCUCCCUGGCUGGAGGAAAUGGGGUGGGGAUAAGAACCAGGAGGAGAGAUGUGUAGAUUACUCCUUUCUUCUCAAUGUCUGCCAUACAGAAGUCAUUUUGUCCAGUGGGGGAAUUGUAAGGAAAAAACCAUAUUUUAAAAUUCCCUAACAAAUAUGACAUCACAAGUCAGGUUUCUUCUCUAGAAUUUCUAGUUGUUUCUAAUGACAACCUUAUUUAAUAACUCCCAUAGCAUUAUUUUUACUUGUUUUCUAAGAAAAAUAAAGGUUUUGAAAGUAAUAUUUUUGAGUAGGAAAAAACUAGGAGAUCAAAAACUGAG